AUUGUACGCUGGCGGCGGGCCUAAAACAUGCCAGUUGAGCGGAGCGGCGGCCGGGUGAGUAAUGCCUAGGAAUCUGCCUGGUCGAGGGGGAUACCGUCCGGAAACGGGCGCUCAUACCGCAUACCAUCAGCUGAGCCUAGGUCGGAUUAGCUCGUUGUGGGGGGAAAGGCCUACCAAGGCGACGGUCCGUCAUUGGUCUGCGAGGAUGAUCAGUCAUACUGGAACUGAUGCACGGUCCAGACUCCUCCGGGAGGCAGCCGUGGGGAAUAUUGGACAAUGGGCGAAAGCCUGCUCCAGCCAUGCCGCGUGUGUGAAGAAGGUCUUCGGAUUGUAAAGCACUUUAAGUUGGGAGGCGUUACCAACAGAGUAAGCACCGGCUAACUUCGUGCCAGCAGCCGCGGUAAUAC
rnacentral:rRNA from 1 species